AGUCGAACGGCAGCACGGGGGCAACCCUGGUGGCGAGUGGCGAACGGGUGAGUAAUACAUCGGAACGUGCCCUGUAGUGGGGGAUAACUAGUCGAAAGAUUAGCUAAUACCGCAUACGACCUGAGGGUGAAAGCGGGGGACCGCAAGGCCUCGCGCUACAGGAGCGGCCGAUGUCUGAUUAGCUAGUUGGUGGGGUAAAAGCCUACCAAGGCGACGAUCAGUAGCUGGUCUGAGAGGACGAUCAGCCACACUGGGACUGAGACACGGCCCAGACUCCUACGGGAGGCAGCAGUGGGGAAUUUUGGACAAUGGGGGCAACCCUGAUCCAGCAAUGCCGCGUGUGUGAAGAAGGCCUUCGGGUUGUAAAGCACUUUUGUCCGGAAAGAAAUGGCUCUGGUUAAUACCCGGGGUCGAUGACGGUACCGGAAGAAUAAGCACCGGCUAACUACGUGCCAGCAGCCGCGGUAAUACGUAGGGUGCGAGCGUUAAUCGGAAUUACUGGGCGUAAAGCGUGCGCAGGCGGUUUUGUAAGACAGGCGUGAAAUCCCCGAGCUCAACUUGGGAAUGGCGCUUGUGACUGCAAGGCUAGAGUAUGUCAGAGGGGGGUAGAAUUCCACGUGUAGCAGUGAAAUGCGUAGAGAUGUGGAGGAAUACCGAUGGCGAAGGCAGCCCCCUGGGACGUCACUGACGCUCAUGCACGAAAGCGUGGGGAGCAAACAGGAUUAGAUACCCUGGUAGUCCACGCCCUAAACGAUGUCAACUAGUUGUUGGGGAUUCAUUUCUUCAGUAACGUAGCUAACGCGUGAAGUUGACCGCCUGGGGAGUACGGUCGCAAGAUUAAAACUCAAAGGAAUUGACGGGGACCCGCACAAGCGGUGGAUGAUGUGGAUUAAUUCGAUGCAACGCGAAAAACCUUACCUACCCUUGACAUGCCACUAACGAAGC
rnacentral:rRNA from 1 species